rnacentral:autocatalytically_spliced_intron from 1 species
CGAUAACUAUAAGAUGAUUGUAGUUAUAAAAUUCAGCUAUUUGCUGGAAACUCUGCGCAUAUCAAGGUACCGCAAGGUGAUAAUCUUUGAUCGAUGAUCGAGCCGCAAGGCCUGGUCGAGCAGACAAUCAGCAGGGAAGAUUCUUGAUUGUUGGAAAGUGCGAAAAAGUGAAGCGAAGGAGAAGGACGAUGAAAGACAUCGGAAAAUUGCUGCCGGGGAAGACGAUCCAAUCGGUCGUUCUUCCCGACGACGUUCCAGCAGAUGGAAAUCCGUAUCAGGUUGAAUUCCAAUUCACCGACGGAUCGUCCGUUACCAUCGUUGCGGUGGAUAGCGUCGGAGACAAGGGCGAGUUCGAGACCGUGUAUGAGUCUCCCGAUCCGAUUCCGAGUCUGUAGCAGAACAGCUCGAUCACAUCGAAAGUUCUUUAAGCGGGCAAGUUAGCUUGCCCGUACUUUCCAACAAUCAAGAAAACCCUCAGAGACUACACGCUGAACUCGCCUCUCUUAAUUGAGCAAUUAAUUAAGAUAGUCGAGAUGAUAUAGUCCGGCCUCUAUGGCGACAUAGAG